rnacentral:lncRNA from 1 species
GGACGCGGAGGCUGGGAUGCGCGCGCUGGACGGUGGGUGCUGAGGUUCCAACCUGUCGGUUGCAGCGGGCUGGGGAACUGUGAGCCCGCAGAGGCCGACAAGGGGUUCUGGGAGGCGGCACUGGGCCCUAUACACCGCCCGCUAUUGGGAGAGAACCGGUUUCCAUCUUGGAAGGCAGAAAUCUGUUCCAGCUGUGUGUUCAGUCCUAGCUGGGCGCUGGUGUCCUUUAAUGGUGGUAGUUCUUCUUGAGUGACAGUUCAGACUUCGUCCAACCGUUCUCCAUCGUCUUGAAGAGGAAACCUUCAACUGACUAAAGGGACCUCCUCCUGAGCACAGACCAAAAGCAAAGGAUGCAGAUAGAUUCCAAAGCUUAAUAAAGAUUCUCUUGCUUAAUAAAGAUUCCCUUGCUUAAUAAAGAUCAUAGACGCUUUGGGAUGGCGUCAGAAGACCAGGCCCCCAUGCCUGCCACCAUAAUUCUACGGAACUAUUUAGUCUUUUUUCCCCCUUUCUAAGUUGUGUGUAUGGCGUCCAAGUCAAAAGCAUUCCCUGAGCGCUCACUGUCAAGUCCUCCAGGAAUCCAAACCCCAACUUCAUGGCCAGAGAGGACAGGAGUACUGUCUCUGCUUUUCAGUCUCAGGAGAUGCAUACUACCUCUGUUGACUUUAUUUCUGUCCAUGUCUGCCUAGGAAAAUUCUGAAGCUCUUUGGACUGCACUUCCUGGCAGCACAUCCAACCUGCGGCCAACAAUAGCUAUGAAUGAGGCCAAACCCAACCUUAAAUGCUAUGAGAGUAUUUAACUGCAUUGUGCUUUUCUUCAGGGAGAACUUUGCAGACAGACAACAGCUCUCCAAGCAAUGUCAAAAGAUUAGACAUCCCUGAAGGACUUUAGAGAACUAAGCAUUAAACAGACAUGCUAACC